UACAGAGGGGGCAAGCGUUGUUCGGAAUUACUGGGCGUAAAGGGCGCGUAGGCGGCCCGCUAAGUCGAACGUGAAAUCCCCGAGCUCAACUCGGGAACUGCGUCCGAUACUGGCGGGCUUGAAUCCGGGAGAGGGAUGCGGAAUUCCAGGUGUAGCGGUGAAAUGCGUAGAUAUCUGGAGGAACACCGGUGGCGAAGGCGAGUCCCUGGACAACACCUGACACUGAGGCACGAAAGCCGGGGGAGCAAACAGG
rnacentral:rRNA from 1 species